rnacentral:misc_RNA from 1 species
CGAUGCCCCAGUGCCCCAUCCCGUCGUAUGACGCCAGGAUCCACCUCGGGCUGUCAUCACCACGCGAGAUGGACCACUGCUGCCAGCAGCCACCCGACUGCGAGACCAUCACUUGUCCGGGACAGCUCGAGGCAGCACGCGACGCCAAUGGAACUUGCCACAGAUGCACGGGGCGUCAGGAGAAGGGCGGCGCUGACCAGGCUGCAGUGACGUCGUGCAACGACCUUGUGCCGGGGAUCGACCUGAUCGAC